rnacentral:rRNA from 1 species
UACGUAGGGGGCGAGCGUUGUCCGGAUUUAUUGGGCGUAAAGAGCGUGUAGGCGGCCUGAAAGGUCAGCUGUGAAAACCUCGAGGCUCAACCUCGAGGACGUCGGUUGAAACCAUCUGGCUAGAGUCCGGAAGAGGAGAGUGGAAUUCCUGGAUGUAGCGGUGAAAUGCGCAGAUAUCAGGAAGAACACCCGUGGCGAAGGCGGCUCUCUGGGACGGUACUGACGCUGAGACGCGAAAGACGUGGGGAGCGAACAGG